AACGAUUUUCACUUAUUUUGCAGUUUGUGUAGCAACAAAUUAACUUGUUAACUUUCAAAAAUCGGCAUUUUGAAGGUUUUUCAAUGUUCUAAAAAAAUAAGUUUUGUAGUUUUAUGUCAACUGUUUAGCUUUUGAAUGGGAUUGUCGCGGAUGUGUAAAAAGUCGUUAGAAUUAUUGUUAGAAUUAAAAAACGGACGCGAACUCUAGGCAGGAAACAGGUAGCUUUUCUUCCUAUAGGUCUAUAAUAACUAAAAAAGUAGUCAGCUACCUGGAUAUUUGAGUGUCCCGAACAUGGUCUAUUUCUAACUUAUUACCUUGGACUACCUAUUCAACUUGAUGGUACCUAUUCAACUCGUUUUGACCAAAAGGUAGAUGUAUGAUUUUGGAUCUAGGUACCAUGGCGUAUUCUUUAUAUAGUAUAUCGCUGAAGAUAAAAGUUUGUAUUCUGUGGUAUAGUUAAGGGGAAAGGUGCAAAAUGUCGCUUGUCAAAAUUUUCAAUGUGUUUUAAAUGUAUUAAUUCUUUUCGAAUCCUGAGAAAACUAAUAAAUAUUUUUAAAAAAUUUAAAACGCAGAAUGAAAGAUUACGUUAUUACCGAGGGCAGAAACUCUCUUAGAAUAAAUAAAAAGUUUCUUUUGAAUGAAAUAUUUGCAAUUAAAAAUCACUCUAAAUUUUCUCUUUCAUUUUCACUCCUGUAACUUAUUAAAAUAAACAUUAUAAAAGUUUUCAGGGACUUUCGACCCUCAGUAAUAAUGUAGUAUUUCAUUAAACGUUUAAAAUUUUAAAAAUAUUUAUUAGUUUUCUCAGGAUUCGAAAAAAAUGAAUACAUUUAAAAAACAUUGAACAUUUGACACACGGAAUUUUGCGCCCAUGCCCCUAAUAAUAUUUGCUCUAUUAUCCAUUCCCAUAUUACCGACAUUUUAUUAAUAAUUAUGUUUGAAGUUUAUUCAAAAACAUAAUCUAUCAAUAAUUUUGUCAAUUUAUUUAGUUAAAUAUUUCUUGUAUCUAAUAUGUAGGUACUUAUAACUGGCUAGUGAUUGUAAUAGUGAAAAAUAUAAAGUGUAUUUCUAUAUGAGAAAAAAUUUGUAAAUAAAAAGUAAAUAAUA
rnacentral:lncRNA from 1 species